rnacentral:tRNA from 1 species
GACCUCGUAGCUCAGCUUGGCAGAGCAACGGACUUUUAAUCCGUGAGUCGCAGGUUCGAAUCCUGCCGGGGUCACCG